rnacentral:lncRNA from 1 species
CGUUCGGUUCUCCGUUCGUCGUUACUUUUCGUCUUAGGGCCUGGCGUCUUUCGUCUUAGAACCUUACUCCUUCUGAAUCAUGUCUCACAUCCCGGACGGGCCCCCAGAUUGUAGGAUCUAUUUAUUUGAGACAAGAUACAGAAGAUACAGAAAGGAAAAUUUCAAAAAAAAAAAGAAUAAACAAGUCAGGGUGACUGCACUGCACCUGCAGGACCUUUCGAAAUGCUGCCUCCUCCCUCUUCUUCUCUCCUGCGUCUCCUCUCCCCGACUACUUGGGUGUGUCACCCCCUACGUCACUCGUUCCCACUUUAGUGUCCGCUAUACGUCCCACAUAUAUUUAUUUAUACCGUGAUUUUUUCUUGAAACCGGUCUGAUUUUUAGCAUCCAGCCAAUUCUGAUACAUAUAUCACGUCAGGAAUC